GCAGUCGACGAGUUCUCGUUGAUGAUCGGUGCUUGCACCGAGAUUCAACAUCGAACGAGUGGCGGACGGGUGAGUAACACGUGGGUAACCUGCCCUUAAGUGGGGGAUAACAUUUGGAAACAGAUGCUAAUACCGCAUAGAUCCAAGAACCGCAUGGUUCUUGGCUGAAAGAUGGCGUAAGCUAUCGCUUUUGGAUGGACCCGCGGCGUAUUAGCUAGUUGGUGAGGUAAUGGCUCACCAAGGCGAUGAUACGUAGCCGAACUGAGAGGUUGAUCGGCCACAUUGGGACUGAGACACGGCCCAAACUCCUACGGGAGGCAGCAGUAGGGAAUCUUCCACAAUGGACGCAAGUCUGAUGGAGCAACGCCGCGUGAGUGAAGAAGGCUUUCGGGUCGUAAAACUCUGUUGUUGGAGAAGAAUGGUCGGCAGAGUAACUGUUGCCGGCGUGACGGUAUCCAACCAGAAAGCCACGGCUAACUACGUGCCAGCAGCCGCGGUAAUACGUAGGUGGCAAGCGUUAUCCGGAUUUAUUGGGCGUAAAGCGAGCGCAGGCGGUUUUUUAAGUCUGAUGUGAAAGCCCUCGGCUUAACCGAGGAAGCGCAUCGGAAACUGGGAAACUUGAGUGCAGAAGAGGACAGUGGAACUCCAUGUGUAGCGGUGAAAUGCGUAGAUAUAUGGAAGAACACCAGUGGCGAAGGCGGCUGUCUGGUCUGUAACUGACGCUGAGGCUCGAAAGCAUGGGUAGCGAACAGGAUUAGAUACCCUGGUAGUCCAUGCCGUAUACGAUGAAUGCUAGGUGUUGGAGGGUUUCCGCCCUUCAGUGCCGCAGCUAACGCAUUAAGCAUUCCG
rnacentral:rRNA from 1 species